UCCCUUAGUAGCGGCGAGCGAACAGGGAAGAGCCCAGCGCCGAAUUCCGCGUCUCAAAGGGCGUUUGGAACAUGUGGCGUUUAGGAGGAAUCUCUCCGAGGGCAGACGGUGUCGCAAGUCCCCCUGAACGGGGCUGUGAUCCAGAGCGGGUGCGAGGCCCAUAGCUGGUACCGUCUCCUUUGGGUGUCCCCUCCUUGGAGUCGGGUUGCUUGGGAGUGCAGCCCUAAUUGGGUGGUAAACUCCACCUAAGGCUAAAUACGUCCGUGAGACCGAUAGCAAACAAGUACCGUGAGGGAAAGUUGCAAAGAACUUUGAAGAGAGAGUUCAAGAGUACGUGAAACCGCUCAGAGGCAAACGGGUGGGCCCACGAAAGCCGAAGGCGGGGGGAUUCAGUCGAGAGGACGGUGGGGCAGGACUGGCUGGUUGGACGGACCGUGCCAGGCCGGGUCAGUUCCCGAGAUCUGCCGCCUUUCGACGCAUUUCCCCCUGCUUAGUAGGACGCCGCAACCGGUUGGCGCUGCAGCCAUAAGGGAGAGUAAAUGGAAGGUAGCCAGUGAGUUCUUCUUCGGAGGCGCGAGCUGGUCCUAAGCCGACUCUCCUGGUGCUUGUGGCCCGACCGUGGUCGUGAGUCCCUSAACGGGAUGUCGCCGAGCCCUCUGACUGGAGCGGGAGAAGUGGCAGGCUGCUUUCCGCGGAAAAAAUCGAUCGCUUCACGCGUGCAGUGGGCGAUCUCCGGAGGUAGCUGCUGGUGCGUUUUUCUCCUGCGCUGGGCACAGGCAGUUGGCGGCGAGUAGGUCGGUCACCCACCCGACCCGUCUUGAAACACGGACCAAGGAGUCUAACAUGUGCGCGAGUCAUUGGGUCUUGAACAAGCCCAAAGGCGCAAUGAAAGUGAAGACCAGCACUGAAGCUGGUGGAGUUGGGAAACUGUGUCACUGAAGAUGCAGUUGCACCAACGGCCCGUCCCGUCCGCAUUGUCGGUGGGGCGGAGCGAGAGCGUACACGUUGGGACCCGAAAGAUGGUGAACUAUGCCUGGGCAGGACGAAGCCAGAGGAAACUCUGGUGGAGGUCCG
rnacentral:rRNA from 1 species